rnacentral:ncRNA from 2 species
CCCAUGCCGACUGGAGAGACGCCACACCGACGUGGCGCACCGAAGGAGCAAGUCCGCUGCAUGCCGCAGCCGAUGAAUCUCUCAGGUAAAGAAGACAGAGGGAGCGGC